rnacentral:rRNA from 1 species
UACGGGGGUGGCGAGCGUUGUCCGGAAUCACUAGGCGUAAAGGGCCAGUAGGCGGAUCGAUCAGUCGGAUGUCAAAGACGUCGGCUCAACCGGCGGACGGCGUCCGAUACUGUUGAUCUAGAGUAAGGUAGAGGAAGACGGAAUUCCUGGUGUAGCGGUGGAAUGCGCAGAUAUCAGGAAGAACACCAGUGGCGUAGGCGGUCUUCUGGGCCAUUACUGACGCUCAAUGGCGAAGGUGUGGGUAUCAAACAGGAUUAGAUACCCUGGUAGUCCACACAGUAAACGAUAUGCACUAGGUGUUGGGGGGGAAGAACCCUUCAGUGCCGUAGCUAACGCGUUAAGUGCAUCGCCUGGGGAGUACGAUCGCAAGGUUAAA